CCUUUACGAAAGAUAUUCAAAUCUACAGUUGAAAUGGAGAUCGAUCCGCAGCGUGGUGAGGUUUUGGUGGCCGAGGUGGAGGAAUAUCUGGAAUAGUCUCCAAUUUUGAAGUCUGAGACAAUGUUCCUUCUGGAAAAGUUCGUGGAAUCUGAUAAGUACCUCCAGGUGUGGGGGGAAUGUCGUAACUAAUGGAGAUGUGCCUCAUCUGUGCGUCUAAUGACGAUGUUGCUGAUGGGGUAUUGAACACAUGCUGCUCGCCUUCUGCAUCAGUCCCAGUCGGAGACGCUGCCUUCGGUAAAACAUCUUGUGAGUAACUCCUAGGCAGGUUAUAAAGGCUGGAGUCUGCCAAUGGUAGUCCAGUACGAGAAGGCGGAGAGUCAUAGACACCUUGCUGCUGAAAAAAGCCAUUCACAGCUUGCUUGCUCAUGGAUGGAGCGGGGUUUUUGUGGGAGGGCACGUUAUCAUUGCAGUCUGUUUCAGAAGAGCUGGAUUUUGCAGAGUCAGCAUGAGAUCUACG
rnacentral:lncRNA from 1 species